rnacentral:rRNA from 1 species
GAUGAACGCUGGCGGCGUGCCUAAUACAUGCAAGUCGAGCGAACAGACGAGGAGCUUGCUCCUCUGACGUUAGCGGCGGACGGGUGAGUAACACGUGGAUAACCUACCUAUAAGACUGGGAUAACUUCGGGAAACCGGAGCUAAUACCGGAUAAUAUAUUGAACCGCAUGGUUCAAUAGUGAAAGACGGUUUUGCUGUCACUUAUAGAUGGAUCCGCGCCGCAUUAGCUAGUUGGUAAGGUAACGGCUUACCAAGGCAACGAUGCGUAGCCGACCUGAGAGGGGGUGGGCCGCCAGUGGAGGUGAGACGGGACCCGGGCUCCGAGGGGAGGAACCAGAGGGGAAUGGCCGGCAAGGGGGGAAACCUUGACGAAGCAGUGGCGGGGGGUUGGAAAAGGUCUUGGGAUGGAAAAACUGUUUUAGGGGGGAAAAAAAAAUUUGAAAAUAACUAUGCCUUGUGUGACGGUAGUUAAUAAAAAAGCCCCGGCUAACUACGUG